CUUAUUUAUCAAAUAUUUGAUGAUUACUUCCCAUUUAAUGUGCACAAUUCAUAUGCGAAUUUUAAUUUGCUUCGUAGCUAUCUACAGAAGUGGAUUAUGUGACAAGGGCUUUUGGAACCUAAAAUUUCCCGGACAAAAGUCUAUGAUAUCAUAUGUCUGAAUCAUGGUCAGAAUAUUACCAUCUACGCGCAUGGGUGCUCUUUUGAUUCAACAUAAAAUGGCAACUUUGUCUAUAACAUAAAAAAAUUAAUCAGGAGAAUCAGAUCCAGUUUGCUGUGGAGCAGGGAGUACUGACUAUGAUUGCAGCUUUUGCAACACAACUUUAGUUGGACCACGGGUGAUUAGUGAGUGAAUUCUUUCCUAGGAUGGCAUCGUCUCAUAGCAUUACAAAAUAUAAAUGAACGCUGAGUAGCAGUUCGCUGCUCAUUCAAUGGGUUGUUCACCAGUUCGCUACUCACCUGUUUGGCGUACCCGUUCCCCUGCUGACAGCUCACCUGUUUCCCGUUCGCUCAUUUAUUCGCCAAUCUCCAAAUGACCGUACACCUGGUGGUUCCCUUGAUGACCUUUCACCUAUUUGGAGAUCGUAAGGAUUUGAAUAGUGGGUUGGAAGGUUAUCUCUAAAUUAGUAUAUAGUUCACUCUUUUGGCUUUAUCAGCAUUGUAGCUGAAAAUUACAUGUAUUGCAUGAGACAUCUGAUGUCUCUACUAGGUUGGUAGGCAUUUCUAGGAUACGGAGUCAUUAUUUCAUAGCUGAAUGAUAUAGUAAAUUAUAGUAACAAAGUACCGAGGCAAUAAUUGGGUUGCCGCUGAUAUUCCACUGGACAAGCAAAAUAUCAUAAUUAUUUCAUAACAAGAUAGUCUGAGGCAAUAAAUGUGUCGUGGUUCUUCAAUCUGGUGAUUUCUGCAAUGGAAUCAAUGAUUAUCCAUCACCAGAUGACACUUAGAUGGAACACUGCCAUAGUAAAUUCAACGUCCAUAUGCUGUAGUUGAUUCAAACUCCAAAUGCUCGGCAUGUAUGUAUACUUUCCUUCAUUAUUUCACCGACAUAUUCCAGAGUCUUCAUAUUACUUGCGGCGUUGCAUCUGAGGAAGUACACAAAAUUGAACUCUUGAGAGAUGUUGAAGAUUUCUGAUUUCUGAAGGAGUGAACUUCUCAUGCAAGCGCCCCUUCAUAUCCAGCACUGUUGGCACUUCGGAGUCUAAUCUGAAAGGACCAAAGAAGGAGUUCACUAUUGAAAUUCUUAAUAUAAAGAAACUGUAACGAACGGUAAUGAUCUCCCACGUCGAAAUUUCUUUAGGAUACUCUCUAAUUUGUUGAGAUACUCCCCGUGUAGUAGAUACUCAUUCUUUUUCUGCGGCUCUGGAAGCAAAAUUUAGCAACCAUGUAGUAGAUACUUCGGGAAAACAACUACUUCUCUGUAUGGUAAGAAACUUGAAAUUUUGCCGGAUCUUUGAUCAUCAAAAAGAUUAUUUUCAUGAUUUGAAUUUUGUAUAAAUUGAAUAGAACACACAAAGAGAAGACUAAGAACUCGAAUUUUAAGAGGGCUCUUUUUAAUUGGCUUCAGCAGUUCAUUGCAAUAACUGGAGUGAGGCAAGCAUCUCACUAGAAUACUCUUUUGUUUUGAAUUAAUUUCUCUGCCAUGAUUUAAAAGGAUGUAAAGAGUAAUUUAUGGAAGUGACUUUCGAUUUGUUUAGCUAGCAAAGAAACUGCAUUAUGGGAUAAGGGCUUUGAGAAACUUGAAACUGAAUGCCAGAAUUUACAAUAGCUUUUAAUUUGUAGUCAGAAUUUCAAAAGUUGAAAUUGACUAAAUAAAACCAUUCUUAGCUACCACUACACUGUCCAGUAUGAACUUUCUUUAAUACCUAAAGAGUAUUGAGCAUUCUUCCUUGCUUCAUGUUAAUACAUAUCAAGUUAAGCUUCAUAAGUCCAGUAUGUGUUUCCAGACGACAUGCAUUAGUAUGGGACAAAGACGGCCACUGAUUUCGCCCAUCCGGCGGCUGGGAGUUUGAGUUUGCGAGAUAUACAUCCGUCCGUUGGCAUUUGCGAGAUAUCUAUCCGUCUGUCGUGGUUUUCCUGGCUUCACAUUCGCACUACUUUUUUUUUCAUCGGCUGCACAUCCACUACUUUAGGAGAGUUUUUAUUUGGAAAGAUAUACAUACCUACUCAAACGGUAAUUGUUAGCAGCAAAAGCAGGUGACAUGAGGCAAUAUUGGAAGACGGGUUUUACUUUCCAUAUUUCUCGAGGGUAUCUCUUUUGAUGCAUUUGGUUUUGCAUUUCUUUUUGCUCAAGAUUACUGCUGAUUAUAUAAGGAACUUCAAUUUUAGGUGCUUUUAUUGGACGCGGAGAUAUUAUGUGAGUCCAUGUAUCCUCGAACAUAUCCUCGACGGCCAUGAAGGUGAAGAGAGGCUGAUUCGAAAUUUUGUUUGGAUUUUGUAGGUGAAGAGAGACUCAUUCGAAGAAUGGGUGAUUUUUGGAUGGUGAAGAGAGACUAAUUUCUAAGCAUAUAUAUUAUGCUUGGUUAUACCACCUUAACUCUUAUGUCGCGUGGUUGGCUACAUUAGUUAAUGAUUACUAUGAUGAAUAACCGUGAUGGCUGAGACUGGAUCUUAUGCCUUGAGGUAUGUUUCUUGGAGACUGGGUGUAAGGUUGGUGGGUUAAAAUAUUGAUAUUUGUCUUUCUUUAGAUUUUGUUUUCCUUCAUUUUAUCCUUCAUUUGUCUUUCUAUGAUUUUCUUUAUGUUUGAUAGAUUGGUCACUUCACCAUACUCAAUGGUAUUAUUCUUCCUUAUUUUGAUGUUGACAUGUUUAAUUUCUUUUAGAACUAAGUUUCAUUGUUCAAAGCGGUUAAUUGAUGAAUAUGAGUCUGUGGCACAAUGGCAGUGCAUCUGACACCAAGUUAGAAGGUUAUGUGUUCGAUUCACACCAGAUUCAGUCCUCUAUAGUAACCGUUUUGUUAUCUGCAUGCUUUAAACUAACUUACAAGUAGUAACUGUUUCACCAGCUGAAAUGGUUCCAUUCCAUGAUGCACCACUCAUUUGUGUCCCCACCAGUAUUAACAACUACAAUAGUUCUUUUAUAGAUGAGGAGUGAAACAUCUUUUGGCUUUGUGAUGAUUGGUUCACUAAUCAUAAGAUAUCAUAAAUUCUGUGAUAAGAGCUACAUCCAUACACCUAAUUCUCCCAUUAUAUGAUUUUGGAUUUGAUUAACUAAUCUCCUAGCUACUGUGUGUGUACCAUGUGCGUAUUUUUAGAACUCGAGUUUCAAAUGAAUUAGGUGCUGGAAAACUGCUUGCUAUACUGCUUAGAAUCGGAUGUUUGAGAUGUGGAGAAAAAAGGGAAAGUUGUGGAGAAGGAAAUUAGCCAAGCUGCUUAGAGAAAUGACAAUAUAUCAGCAAAGGUAACAAUCAGUAAUAAAUUUCAUGAAAUUCAUCAUUCUUGAUAUUCCUGUUAGUUAUAUGGAAUGCAGAACACUAGAGUAAACAAUGGGAUUUCGGAAGAUAUAUGUAGGUUUUACUUCCUACUGCCUAGCAUCUCUUUGUCGUAGCUAAUUUUUUUGUAACUGAAUGCAUGGUGACUUGAUAGUAGCUAAUUCCAAUAU